rnacentral:rRNA from 1 species
GAUGAACGCUGGCGGCGUGCCUAAUACAUGCAAGUCGAGCGAACGGACGAGAAGCUUGCUUCUCUGAUGUUAGCGGCGGACGGGUGAGUAACACGUGGAUAACCUACCUAUAAGGCUGGGAUAACUUCGGGAAACCGGAGCUAAUACCGGAUAAUAUUUUGAACCGCAUGGUUCAAAAGUGAAAGACGGUCUUGCUGUCACUUAUAGAUGGAUCCGCGCUGCAUUAGCUAGUUGGUAAGGUAACGGCUUACCAAGGCAACGAUGCAUAGCCGACCUGAGAGGGUGAUCGGCCACACUGGAACUGAGACACGGUCCAGACUCCGACGGGAGGCAGCAGUAGGGAAUCUUCCGCAAUGGGCGAAAGCCUGACGGAGCAACGCCGCGUGAGUGAUGAAGGUCUUCGGCUCGUAAACCUCUGUUAUUAGGGAAGAACAUAUGUGUAAGUAACUGUGCACAUCUUGACGGUACCUAAUCAGAAAGCCACGGCUAACUACGUG